UACAGAGGUGGCAAGCGUUGUUCGGAUUCAUUGGGCGUAAAGGGUGCGUAGGUGGCGCGCUAAGUCAGGUGUGAAAUCUCGGGGCUUAACUCCGAAACUGCAUUUGAUACUGGCGUGCUUGAGGACUGGAGAGGAGACUGGAAUUCAUGGUGUAGCAGUGAAAUGCGUAGAGAUCAUGAGGAAGACCAGUGGCGAAGGCGGGUCUCUGGACAGUUCCUGACACUGAGGCACGAAGGCCAGGGGAGCAAACGGG
rnacentral:rRNA from 1 species